rnacentral:rRNA from 1 species
CAGUCGCCGCGGUAAUACGUAGGUGGCAAGCGUUGUCCGGAUUUAUUGGGCGUAAAGCGAGCGCAGGCGGUCAAUUAAGUCUGAUGUGAAAGCCCCCGGCUCAACCGGGGAGGGUCAUUGGAAACUGGUUGACUUGAGUACAGAAGAGGAGAGUGGAAUUCCAUGUGUAGCGGUGAAAUGCGUAGAUAUAUGGAGGAACACCAGUGGCGAAGGCGACUCUCUGGUCUGUAACUGACGCUGAGGCUCGAAAGCGUGGAUAGCAAACAGGAUUAGAUACCCCCGUAGUCCCUGUCUCUUAUAC